rnacentral:rRNA from 1 species
UACGGAGGGAGCAAGCGUUAUUCGGAAUUACUGGGCGUAAAGCGCACGUAGGCGGCUUUGUAAGUAAGUUGUGAAAUCCCGGAGCUCAACUCCGGAACUGCCUUUUAGACUGCAUCGCUUGAAUCCAGGAGAGGUGAGUGGAAUUCCGAGUGUAGAGGUGAAAUUCGUAGAUAUUCGGAAGAACACCAGUGGCGAAGGCGGCUCACUGGACUGGUAUUGACGCUGAGGUGCGAAAGCGUGGGGAGCAAACAGG